AGUGAACGCUGGCGGUAGGCCUAACACAUGCAAGUCGAACGGCAGCACAGUAAGAGCUUGCUCUUACGGGUGGCGAGUGGCGGACGGGUGAGGAAUACAUCGGAAUCUACUUUUUCGUGGGGGAUAACGUAGGGAAACUUACGCUAAUACCGCAUACGACCUACGGGUGAAAGCAGGGGAUCUUCGGACCUUGCGCGUUUGAAUGAGCCGAUGUCGGAUUAGCUAGUUGGCGGGGUAAAGGCCCACCAAGGCGACGAUCCGUAGCUGGUCUGAGAGGAUGAUCAGACACACUGGAACUGAGACACGGACCAGACUACUACGGGAGGCAGCAGUGGGGAAUAUUGGACAAUGGGCGCAAGCCUGAUCCAGCCAUACCGCGUGGGUGAAGAAGGCCUUCGGGUUGUAAAGCCCUUUUGUUGGGAAAGAAAAGCAGCAGGUUAAUACCCCGCUGUUCUGACGGUACCCAAAGAAUAAGCACCGGCUAACUUCGUG
rnacentral:rRNA from 1 species